AGAGUUUGAUCCUGGCUCAGGAUGAACGCUAGCUACAGGCUUAACACAUGCAAGUCGAGGGGCAGCAUGGUCUUAGCUUGCUAAGGCCGAUGGCGACCGGCGCACGGGUGAGUAACACGUAUCCAACCUGCCGUCUACUCUUGGACAGCCUUCUGAAAGGAAGAUUAAUACAAGAUGGCAUCAUGAGUUCGCAUGUUCACAUGAUUAAAGGUAUUCCGGUAGACGAUGGGGAUGCGUUCCAUUAGAUAGUAGGCGGGGUAACGGCCCACCUAGUCUUCGAUGGAUAGGGGUUCUGAGAGGAAGGUCCCCCACAUUGGAACUGAGACACGGUCCAAACUCCUACGGGAGGCAGCAGUGAGGAAUAUUGGUCAAUGGGCGCAGGCCUGAACCAGCCAAGUAGCGUGAAGGAUGACUGCCCUAUGGGUUGUAAACUUCUUUUAUAAAGGAAUAAAGUCGGGUAUGUAUACCCGUUUGCAUGUACUUUAUGAAUAAGGAUCGGCUAACUCCGUGCCAGCAGCCGCGGUAAUACGGAGGAUCCGAGCGUUAUCCGGAUUUAUUGGGUUUAAAGGGAGCGUAGAUGGAUGUUUAAGUCAGUUGUGAAAGUUUGCGGCUCAACCGUAAAAUUGCAGUUGAUACUGGAUAUCUUGAGUGCAGUUGAGGCAGGCGGAAUUCGUGGUGUAACGGUGAAAUGCUUAGAUAUCACGAAGAACUCCGAUUGCGAAGGCAGCCUGCUAAGCUGCAACUGACAUUGAGGCUCGAAAGUGUGGGUAUCAAACUAGGAUUAGAUACCCUGGUAGUCCACACGGUAAACGAU
rnacentral:rRNA from 1 species